rnacentral:rRNA from 1 species
GCGGCAGGCCUAACACAUGCAAGUCGAACGGUAGCACAGAGGAGCUUGCUCCUUGGGUGACGAGUGGCGGACGGGUGAGUAAUGUCUGGGAAACUGCCCGAUGGAGGGGGAUAACUACUGGAAACGGUAGCUAAUACCGCAUAACGUCGCAAGACCAAAGAGGGGGACCUUCGGGCCUCUUGCCAUCGGAUGUGCCCAGAUGGGAUUAGCUAGUAGGUGGGGUAACGGCUCACCUAGGCGACGAUCCCUAGCUGGUCUGAGAGGAUGACCAGCCACACUGGAACUGAGACACGGUCCAGACUCCUACGGGGGGCAGCAGUGGGGAAUAUUGCACAAUGGGCGCAAGCCUGAUGCAGCCAUGCCGCGUGUAUGAAGAAGGCCUUCGGGUUGUAAAGUACUUUCAGCGAGGAGGAAGGCGUUGUGGUUAAUAACCGCAACGAUUGACGCUACUCGCAGAAGAAGCACCGGCUAACUCCGUGCCA